rnacentral:rRNA from 1 species
AAAAGAAACUAACAAGGAUUCCCCUAGUAACGGCGAGUGAACAGGGAAGAGCUCAAAUUUGAAAUCUGGCGUGCUCAGUGCGUCCGAGUUGUAAUCUAUAGAGACGUUUUCCGUGCCGGACCGUGUCCAAGUUCCUUGGAACAGGAUAUCAAAGAGGGUGACAAUCCCGUACUUGACACGACGACCGGUGCCCUGUGAUACGUCUUCUACGAGUCGAGUUGUUUGGGAAUGCAGCUCAAAAUGGGUGGUGAGUUCCAUCUAAAGCUAAAUAUUGGCGAGAGACCGAUAGCGAACAAGUACCGUGAGGGAAAGAUGAAAAGCACUUUGGAAAGAGAGUUAAACAGUACGUGAAAUUGUUGAAAGGGAAACGAUUGAAGUCAGUCGUGUCCGGGAGGCUCAGCCGUUUUCGGUGUAUUCCUCUCGGACGGGUCAACAUCAGUUUUGUCCGGCGGAUAAGGGCGGAGGGAAUGUGGUACCCUCGGGUGCUUUAUAGCCCUCCGUCGCAUACGUCGGGUGAGACUGAGGAAUGCAGCUCGCCUUCAUUGGCCGGGGUUCGCCCACGUUCGAGCUUAGGAUGUUGACGUAAUGGCUUUAAACGAC